GGUGGUAAAUUGUCAGCAAGCUGCCAAGGCUGAUUUUGGCGAACCAUUGCAUUAAGAAUAACUAAGAUUUUCCGCACACAAGCAGUCAGAGCCAGUUUUUUUGAUUUACCUCGUCCGACUAGGCGUUCGUAAAAGGUUUUAACACCUGGAUUAUGACGCAUAGCUACCACCGCUCCCAUGUAAAGAGUCGCCCGAAUCUGAGCGCGACCUCCCUGAAUCAUUCGCUUACCUUUAUGUUGACCACUAUCAUGAUUAAUCGGCGCAACACCGACUAAGCGAGAGAUUUGUUUGGCGGUUAAUUGACCGAGUUCUGGUAAGUCGGAGACGAGAGUAGUAGAAAUUUACUUGACCAAUCCCCGGCACGGUUUUGAGUAAAUUUAACUUUCUCGAGCUAUUGUUGGUUAGCUUGGGUCAAUUCCUCAAUUUCUUGAUUGAGUUUUCGAGGCAGUUAUCGAGAUACUCAAGAUGGGCUUCGAUAUCGACCAAAGC
rnacentral:rRNA from 1 species